rnacentral:rRNA from 1 species
UACAGAGGUCUCAAGCGUUGUUCGGAUUCAUUGGGCGUAAAGGGUGUGUAGGUGGCGCGCUAAGUCGGGUGUGAAAUUUCGGAGCUUAACUCCGAAACUGCAUUCGAUACUGGCGUGCUUGAGGACUGGAGAGGAGACUGGAAUUCAUGGUGUAGCAGUGAAAUGCGUAGAGAUGUGGAGGAACACCAGUGGCGAAGGCGACUCUUUGGUCUGUAACUGACGCUGAGGCGCGAAAGCGUGGGGAGCAAACAGG